UAGGGAAUCUUCGGCAAUGGACGAAAGUCUUACCGAGCAACGCCGCGUGAGUGAAUAAGGUUUUCGGAUCUUAAAACUCUGUUGUUAGAGAAGAACAAGGACGUUAGUAACUGAACGUCCCCUGACGGUAUCUAACCAGAAAGCCACGGCUAACUACGUGCCAGCAGCCGCGGUAAUACGUAGGUGGCAAGCGUUGUCCGGAUUUAUUGGGCGUAAAGCGAGCGCAGGCGGUUUCUUAAGUCUGAUGUGAAAGCCCCCGGCUCAACCGGGGAGGGGCAUUGGAAACUGGGAGACUUGAGUGCAGAAGAGGAGAGUGGAAUUCCAUGUGUAGCGGUGAAAUGCGUAGAUAUAUGGAGGAACACCAGUGGCGAAGGCGGCUAUCUGGUCUGUAACUGACGCUGAGGCUCGAAAGCGUGGGGAGCAAACAGG
rnacentral:rRNA from 1 species